AUGUUAAUCAUGUCUUCACGAUGCCCUCAUGGCAAUGUUUACAUGGGGGUUGGACCAAGACAAUCGGUACCAGAGCCUGGCCCAGCUGACACCCGCGUUAACCCUCACAUUUGCUGGUGCAGUGUCUGUAGGCCUCUGUUUCCCCAUGUGUUAACUGGCGAACAUGCCUUGCCUGUUCAAGCUUCUCCUCCAGGAAGUGGGAAUGAUGGACCAGGACAGUGCCGAGCGAGGGGCGAGCGAGCGAGAGCCCAGGAGGAGGAUGAGGCUGAUUUCUGCACACGGUGUCCUCACCAUCAUGGGAUAGACGCUCCUGCAGGUUCAGGUCCUUUGUUCCUGGAGCCCCUGCGGCAUCUCAGGGGAGGAGAAGGUGCAAGCCAGAGAUUACUCCAGGCUUGCAAGAGGCAUGCUGGUUUUAUAAAGUUUUCUCCACCUACUCCCGUACAUGAGCUGGGACCAUGGAAAAACUUCUCAGCCACUCAAGUAUCCAGAGAGGGCGAGGUAUCUUCUGUCUCUUCGUGAAGGUUCCAGACAGCCCUGUUUUGGGGAUG
ensembl:lncRNA